UAACCAGUCCUUCUGCAAUCCA
rnacentral:miRNA from 1 species